rnacentral:sRNA from 1 species
CUUCUCGCCAUCCUGAAGACAGGAACCACCCGAAGAGAGGUGCCUGGGGAACAGACUCCCCUUAAAACUUGGCAAGGAGACCUUGGGGACCCUGUCACAAGAACCUCAAAGACUAGUUGACAGAAAACCCACUCCCACCUGUGGAGACUGAAGACAGCGGCUGAGAGGGUGUGUGAAACGCUGGAGGGAGCCGUUGGAGCAGUGGGUUCGACGCUAGGUCCGGCCUUAUGUGAGCUCUGGGGAUUCAAACUCGGGUCCUCAUGCUUGUGUGGCAAGUGCUUUAUCCACUGAGCCGUCU